GAUAAACGCUGGCGGCGUGCUUUAUGCAUGCAAGUCGAACGGUUCCGAUUUAUCGGAACAGUGGCAGACGGGUGAGUAACACGUAAGUAACCUGCCCCCAAGUAGGGAAUAACUCUGAGAAAUUGGAGCUAAUACCGUAUGUGUUGGUGAGGGUAAGGCCUCAUCAAUAAAGUCUUAGGACGCUUGGGGAGGGGCUUGCGGCCGAUUAGCUAGUUGGUAGGGUAAUGGUCUACCAAGGCGAUGAUCGGUAGCUGGUUUGAGAGGACGGUCAGCCACACUGGGACUGAGACACGGCCCAGACUCCUACGGGAGGCAGCAGCAAGGAAUAUUGUGCAAUGGGCGAAAGCCUGACACAGCGACGCCGCGUGAGGGAUGAAGGCCUUCGGGUUGUAAACCUCUUUUCUCAGGGAAGAAAAAUGACGGUACCUGAGGAAUAAGUCUUGCUAACU
rnacentral:rRNA from 1 species